UUCCACAUCGAGAUUCUGUCGGGCAGCACCUUGGUCUGGGCAUUGUUGCUGGAAGCCGUCAGCUCUGUGAAAGCAAAGAGCUCGCAGGACCUCCCAGGACAGUAACUCGAAUUUCGAAUAUCAGCAGGAAAUGUGUUUUUGGAGAAGGAUACUCAUAGAAAAUCCAUGAGGAUAAGACAUCAGUGAAAUAGUGAAGAUAGAAAGACCCCAUCUUUACAGGGACUCUGAGUGGUAUUUCCUUCUUUUGCUUGUACUAGCUGACACCAGCUUUAAUUCAACCUAUGGAGGGACAGAUGAAAUAAAGCAGCUGUCAAAUAAGGACAACCAGGACAACUGGGUCAUCAGCUGUUUUUAAACUUUCAGAAAUCGGUGGAUGGACUAAAACUUUCCCUUUGAUAGAGCUUUAA